rnacentral:lncRNA from 1 species
AUAAAGUCAUGUUGCCAUGAGCACCGCUUGUUAGUGCCAUGUGUUGGGAAUGAGACACACUGGAAGCAGAAUCAAACAGCAGCAGAUUGCACAUUCCUUGGAAGAACAGGUCUCCUUUAUUGUCGACUGUCAAGUUCUUUACAAGGCGCUUUCUGUGUGUGAUCUCAGUACCUCUUCACAAUAGCUCUUUCUGGGAGACA